rnacentral:rRNA from 1 species
CGUGACGGGGGGAUCCCAAGUGUCAUGCCUUAGGGCAUGACUUUUGCAGAGUGUAAAAAGCUCUUCGAAUAAGAGCUGGGUAAGACCGGUGCCAGCCGCCGCGGUAACACCGGCAGCUCAAGUGGUGGCCACUAUUAUUGGGCCUAAAGCGUCCGUAGCCGGAUUGAUAAGUCCUUGGGAAAAUCCGCUCGUUCAACGAACGGGAACCUGAGGAUACUGUCAAACUAGGGAACGAGAGAAGUCAGAAGUACUCCUGGGGUAGCGGUGAAAUGUUGUAAUCCUGGGGGGACUACCAGUGGCGAAGGCGUCUGACUAGAGCGGGUCCGACGGUGAGGGACGAAAGCCAGGGGAGCGAACGGGAUUAGAUACCCCGGUAGUCCUGGCUGUAAACGCUGUGGGCUAGGUGUUGCAUGCUCUACGGGGGCGUGCAGUGCCGAAGAGAAGUUGAUAAGCCUACCGCCUGGGAAGUACUGUCGCAAGGCAGAAACUUAAAGGAAUUGGCGGGGGAGCACCACAAGGGGUGAAGUCUGCGGUUCAAUUGGAUUCAACGCCGGAAAUCUCACCGGGAGCGACGGCAGAAUGAAGGUCAAGCUAACGACUUUGCUGAACGAGCCGAGAGGAGGUGCAUGGCCGUCGUCAGCUCGUACCGUGAGGCGUCCUGUUAAGUCAGGCAACGAGCGAGACCCGUGCCCCUAGUUGUCAGCGAAUCCCUACGGGGAUGUCGGUCACACUAGGGGGACCGCUUACGAUAAGUAAGAGGAAGGAGCGAGCGACGAUAGGUCAGUAUGCCCCAAAUCUCCCGGGCUACACGCGGACUGCAAUGGCCGGGACAAAUGGUCCCAACUUCGAAAGAAGACGGAAAUCCUAAAACCCGGUCUAAGUUCGGAUUGAGGGCUGCAAUUCGCCCUCAUGAAGCCGGAAUCCCUAGUAAUCGCGUGUCAUUAUCGCGCGGUGAAUAUGUCCCUGCUCCUUGCACACACCGCCCGUCACACCACCCGAGUGAGGUCGAGGCAAGGCUCUGCUCA